rnacentral:lncRNA from 1 species
UUGGCCACAGUCACACAGACAUUAAGUGACAGACUCAGGAUAACACAGGUCAGAGAAGUGUCAAGCAGGGAGGAAGCAGUGCUAAUCUUCACACUUGGGUCCUAAACUUACCACAAAGAUAUUUCCUGCGUUUCUACCCCAUAGCGGAGCAAACAGAGAAGGUGUUAAAGGAAACAACAUGAAGCUUUGGCCCUUAAAUUUCAACCCAACAUUGUGAAUGCAAUUUUGUGUUUUGUGAAUAGGACUUCAAAAGAAUAAAUCAAGACUUCCUCUCCUCAUCCUUCUGGAGGGGGACAGCCAAGCCAGAAAAAAGAAACAGAAUCUUCCCACAAAGUUCGAAGGAAACCUAUACCUGCACAGCUGUGGAUAGUCCUGGUUUAACUUAUUUUUGUUUCUCACACAUAUUUUUUUGUUUGUUUUUUUGUCUUUUUGCCAUUUCUUGGGCUGCUCCCGUGGCAUAUGGAGGUUCCCAGGCUAGGGGUCGAAUCGGAGCUGUAGCUGCUGGCUUACACAGAGCCACAGCAACUUGGGAUCCGAGCCAUGUCUGCAACCUACACCACAGCUCACGGCAACGCUGGAUCCUUAACCCACUGAGCAAGGGCAGGGAUCGAACCCGCAACCUCAUGGUUUCUAGUUGGAGUCAUUAACCACUGAACCACGACGGGAAUUCCUGUUUCUCACACAUAUUAAGUUAAUCAGCCAAAGGUAGUUUUCCCAACACUUACCAUUCAGCCUCCCACCAACUUGAACUUGACCAACAAUUCAACAAUCGUUUUAUUUUUGCAAAAGGAAAACUAGAAGAUUUUAAGAAGAGAAGGAAAGGAGGAGGAGAUGCAAAGAUAAGAGAAAGCAGUGGAGGGAAAGGGAGAGCGGAGAGGACAGAGCGGAACCGAAUAUUUUCUGCACGGCUCAGGGAAGAGCCUCAAGCCUGCCCGACCGACCUGCACAUUCUGGGGAUCCCAGAAUAAGAUCAACGGUGGGUGACCCUGCACUCCCUCCAAACACCUUUCUGAGAACACCUCCCACAACGUGUCAACACAAAUGCAAUUCCACAUUCCUGCUUGUAAAUAUUUUCCCCUAGCUAUAAAUGAAAGCUGUGAUGCCACAGAUCUCUCACAGCUUAGCAUUCUUUAUGAGAUGUAUAAAUAGGACCUGCCUCGCGAUUGAAGAGCUUCUAUCCUGGCAGAAUCGGUUUUAUACUAUGGGCGAGCACACAUUUCCAUAAUUCAAUUCAACAAAUACUGAUUGAAUAUACAUAGUAUUAUGUAAAUAUGUAUCAAUACAUAUGAGAAGUACAUGAAGAGAAGCUGGUCAGAAGCAGGCACUGUGCAGGAGCCCCUCCAGCUGCUCCCCGCAUUUCCUGCAGCGGGACUGGUGGCCUGACUUGGGGAACAGAUGCUAUUGCAGUGUCUGGGCAUUAUUCUCCCAGCCCUCCCCUGGGCCCUGCCCUGAUCCCACAGUGCAGUGGGUAAAUAAAAUCUGUGCUCCUGCAUUAAAUCAACAUGCAUCCCCUCCCACCGAAAUACUUUUAAGAUGCAGAAAUUGCAUCUUUAUUUCCAAAUACACUUGUUAAGAAAGACUCUUCAAGAGAUUGGGAGGAUCAGGGGAAAGGUUAGCGUCUUUUGAGGAAGGAAGAAAAGGUUUUGAGGUGUGUUCUGUUAUUUGAAUACUUUUCAGAUAUUAGCAAAUAAAGUUCUAGAUUCAACAACUUUUGCAGAGAAAAAGACAUCCCAUAAAUAUAUGUAUUUCUGAAUCUAUGUGGAAAGAAAAAUUAAAACUACUCUACAUGAGCCUGCUCAAGUGGCCAUAACAAAAUACCACCGACUGGCUGGCUUACCCAACAGAAAUGUGUGUUCUUACAGUUGGGGAGCCUGGAAGUCCAAAAUCAAGGGGUCAGCAGAGUUAGUUUCUGGUGCAAACUCUCUUUCCGGUUUGCAAGUGGCCACCUUCUCACUGUGUCCUCACGUGGUGUUCACUCUAUGUGCUCACAGAGAAAGAGAAGUUUCUAUUGGAUUAAUGUCCCAUCGUUACAACCGCAUUUAACUUAAUUAUGUCCUUGAAGGCCCUCUCUCCAAAUAGUCACACCAGCCAUUAGAACUUUACCAAAAAAAAUUGGGGAGGUCUCAGUUCAGUCUCUAACAUGCUCUUAAGUGCUUUCAACUAAAAAUAUUGUUUUGGAGUUCCCGUUGUGGCUCAGCAGAAAUGAAUCUGACUAGCAUCCAGGAGGAUACAAGUUUGAUUGCUGGCAUCACUCAGUGGGUUAAGGGUGCAGCAUCGCCGUGAGCUGUGACGGAGGUUACAG